CGAUUUCCUCAGUAGCGGCGAGCGAACAGGAAAAAGCCCAAUGCUGAAUCCAGCACCCUUUGGUGUUUGGAAAUGUAGCGUAAGGGACCGUUCUUACAGUUAAUUGUUAUCGUUUCAAGUUCACUUGAUUGUGGCUUAAAGUCCAUAGAGGGUGUAAGACCCGUAGAGACGGUACAAUUUUCUUUGAGCGGUUCCAAGAGUAGAGUUGUUCGGGAAUGCAGCUCAAAUAUGGGAGGUAAACUCCUCCUAAGGCUAAAUACAACACGAGUCCGAUAGCGAACAAGUACCAUGAGGGAAAGUUGAAAAGAACUUUGAAGAGAGAGUUCAAUAGUGCGUGAAACCGCUCAAUGGGAACCAGGUGGAGCUGAAGGAGACUUGGUAAAUUUGUACUUCAUGCGGGUCAUGUGUUUGGUGCAGAGACUUUUCGCUCGGCCUUAUACAUGUUCUUGUGUGUUGUGCUAUUUUGCCUUGUCGACACCACGACCAGUAGGUAGAUUGGUCUGGCAUAUGCGGAAAGGUAGCUCACUUUUGAGUGUUAUAGUCCGCGUGUCUAGCACCAGUCGAGUACUGUCCUUGUGCAUUGUCAUCAAGUUGGGUUGAGGCACGAUGCUGCUUUACCAACUCAUCAAGAGAUGGUUUGGCUGUCUGAGUGUUUUGACUUAGCCUCUAGUGGCAGUGUUAAAGUCUGUGGUGGCUAUGUAGGCAUUCUACCUGACCCGUCUUGAAACACGGACCAAGGAGUUUAACAUGUACGCGAGUCAUGGGGUUGUACGAAACCUAAAGGCGCAGUGAAAGUAAAGGUCAACUUUUGUUGGCUUAGGUAGGAUCCUGGAUUUCAUCGGGCAGCAAUGCACGUGGUCUAGGCGCACUACCAGCUCGUCCCAUGCUUUAUUAAGUGGGGCGAAGCAAGAGCGUACAUGUUGAGACCCGAAAGAUGGUGAACUAUGCUUGAGUAGGUUGAAGCCAGGGGAAACUCUGGUGGAGGACCGUAGCGAUUCUGACGUGCAAAUCGAUCGUCAAACUUGAGUAUAGGGGCGAAAGACUAAUCGAACCAUCUAGUAGCUGGUUCCCUCCGAAGUUUCCCUCAGGAUAGCUGGCGCUCAUGAAAACUCAUGUUUUAUCCGGUAAAGCGAAUGAUUAGCAGUAUUGGGGAUGAAAUAUCCUCAACUGAUUCUCAAACUUUAAAUGGGUGAGAAGCUCAACUCACUUGAAUUGGAGUUGUGCAUCGAAAUAGAGUGCCUAGUGGGCCAUUUUUGGUAAGCAGAACUGGCGAUGAGGGAUGAACCUAACGCUUGGUUAAGGAGCCAAACACAACGCUCAUGAGAUACCACAAAAGGUGUUGGUUGAUUUUGACAGCAGGACGGUGGCCAUGGAAGUCGGAAUCCGCUAAGGAGUGUGUAACAACUCACCUGCCGAAUCAACCAGCCCUGAAAAUGGAUGGCGCUCGAGCGUUGGUCCUAUACCAGGCUGUUACCGCGAAGCAGUAUGUGGUAACAUGUAGGAGGGCGCAGUGGUGAGCAUAGAAGUCUAGGCCGUGAGGCUGGAUGGAGCCGCCACU
rnacentral:rRNA from 1 species